UUUUCUUCAGGAGUGCUGGAAUACGUAAUGAAGCUGUUAUAUUUGGAAAAGCGAUUGAUGGGAGGAAUUGUGGGAUGAAACGUUUUCAACAUCUUUUCAAAUUUUCAAUGAGUGUGACGUCUUGCUUGCUUGAAUGAAACGUAAACAUUGAACGUGUACUUCACGUGAACCAUUUUUGGUAAGCGGAAUUGCCGCUCUAUGGAAUA
rnacentral:ncRNA from 1 species